CGCGCGGCGAUUGGCUGGCAGAAAGGCAGAGGCGGGGCCAGGAGAGAAAGCUUUGUGGUUUGGUUUCAGGGAAGUAGCAGGCGCCGGUUGAGAGAACUACGGCCCUGUCGGAAGGUAACCUCCGGUGCAAACGACCAUCGGCGGCAGGCGAGCGGUACGCUUGGCGUCCGGGCCUUCCUGGGCCCGUCUGAGGAAACUUGCUGCUCGAGGCCAGGCUGCCUAGGACCUGUCCCUUUUUUCUGUACUGGCUCCCACAUCCGGGUUUUUUCUCCGGGACGGCCCUUCGGAUGCUUGGGCCAAUGGGAAUCGCCAUUUAGGGUGCUCCGCCCACCGGGUCGCGUAGAGCAUCCUGGAAGUCGUAGUAAAUCUCUCGAGAGUUCCCUCCGCACGCGGGCUGGAGAAGCGGGUCCUACGCACGCUUUGUUGUCGCGCUUUGCCUCCGUCCUUACCCCUACUCCCGCCUUACCUGACUUCCUUUUCGGAGGAAGAUCCUUGAGCAGCCGACGUUGGGACAAAGGAUUUGGAGAAACCCAGGGCUAAAGUCACGUUUUUCCUCCUUUAAGAUUUACCUCAACACUUCACUCCAUGGCAGUUCCCGAGACCCGCCCUAACCACACUAUUUAUAUCAACAACCUCAAUGAGAAGAUCAAGAAGGAUGAGCUAAAAAAGUCCCUGUACGCCAUCUUCUCCCAGUUUGGCCAGAUCCUGGAUAUCCUGGUAUCACGGAGCCUGAAGAUGAGGGGCCAGGCCUUUGUCAUCUUCAAGGAGGUCAGCAGCGCCACCAACGCCCUGCGCUCCAUGCAGGGUUUCCCUUUCUAUGACAAGCCUAUGCGUAUCCAGUAUGCCAAGACCGACUCAGAUAUCAUUGCCAAGAUGAAAGGCACCUUCGUGGAGCGGGACCGCAAGCGGGAGAAGAGGAAGCCCAAGAGCCAGGAGACCCCGGCCACCAAGAAGGCUGUGCAAGGCGGGGGAGCCGCCCCCGUGGUGGGGGCUGUCCAGGGGCCUGUCCCGGGCAUGCCGCCGAUGACUCAGGCGCCCCGCAUUAUGCACCACAUGCCGGGCCAGCCGCCCUACAUGCCGCCCCCUGGUAUGAUCCCCCCGCCAGGCCUUGCACCUGGCCAGAUCCCACCAGGGGCCAUGCCCCCGCAGCAGCUUAUGCCAGGACAGAUGCCCCCUGCCCAGCCUCUUUCUGAGAAUCCACCAAAUCACAUCUUGUUCCUCACCAACCUGCCAGAGGAGACCAACGAGCUCAUGCUGUCCAUGCUUUUCAAUCAGUAAGUGGGGCCUGUGGCUGGGUGGUCCCUGGAGCGUGAUGGCCAGGAGGCAUCUCCAUGGAAGCAGGCCUCAGAACUCUGCCAGCAGAGCUCUGAGCCAAGUAGGGCUUUGCAGAAGGGACAGCGACCAAAGAUGUGAAAGGAGGAGGCUGUGGCUGGGCCCAUGGCCUGUGGGGAACAUGGGGAUGAGGCUGGAAAGGUCUCCAUGGCCAGGGCUUGCCGGCUUUUUUCAGCCUUGUUUGAGGGCUGAGGGAGUCCAGGCUCUGGGCCUCAUUUUCCCAGCCCCUAAAAUGGGGGCAUGCAAGGCAAGGUAUGUGUAAAACUGCAUCGAGAUGUCCUUGAACAUUGGCUAAGACUGGCAGAAGUCAGCGUGCUCAAAAACAGCAAGUGUGGGAGAUGGGGAUGCGUGAAACUCUUGUGCCUGGCGUCAGGGUGGAGGCCGGUGCAGCCGAUGUGUAGAGGGGCUGUUCACCAUUGUUGAGUGAAGUCGUGGGUGUGGGUGAGUUCAUCUGGUGGUUCUGUUUCAGGGGCUGUGAGUGGGGCAUUCGUCAGUGUUUGUGGUGGGGAGUUGGAGGCUGUCUGGGAGAAGGGAUGGCUACAUGCAGCAUCUCACCAUGCUGCACUGCGUGGCACUUAGAAGAACAGAAAGCGCAACUUUAUAAUAGUGCCGAGAGAAGAUUGUGAGAACCUGAAAAAUACAGAAAAAUGAUACCACAUGUGCAGCCUGUCCACAAAGCUGUAUAUUUUGUGAGAAUGCCGAUGGAAAAAAGGAUACCUAGUAAACAUGAGGAUGGCUGCUUAAUGGAGAAAGAAGUAUGCAAUGAGAAGAGGGAAAUUAGAGAAACAGCAUAUCAGAAAAGUGAGGGUUCCCUGGCUUCAAGGAGGUCCGUCUGGUACCCGGGCGGCAUGACAUCGCCUUCGUGGAGUUUGACAAUGAGGUACAGGCAGGGGCAGCUCGCGAUGCCCUGCAGGGCUUUAAGAUCACGCAGAACAACGCCAUGAAGAUCUCCUUUGCCAAGAAGUAGCACCUUUUCCCCCCAUGCCUGCCCCUUCCCCCGUUCUGGGGCCACCCCUUUCCCCCUUGGCUCAGCCCCCUGAAGGUAAGUCCCCCCUUGGGGGCCUUCUUGGAGCCGUGUGUGAGUGAGUGGUCGCCACACAGCAUUGUACCCAGAGUCUGUCCCCAGACAUUGCACCUGGCGCUGUUAGGCCGGAAUUAAAGUGGUUUUUUGAGGUUUGGUUUUUCACAA